rnacentral:rRNA from 1 species
AGUGAACGCUGGCGGCAGGCCUAACACAUGCAAGUCGAGCGGAAGCGCGGGGCUAACCCUGGCGGCGAGCGGCGGACGGGUGAGGAAUUCGUAGGAAUCUGCCUGUUUGUGGGGGAUAACGUAGGGAAACGUACGCUAAUACCGCAUACGUCCUGCGGGAGAAAGUGGGGGAUCGUAAGGCCUCACGCUGUCAGAUGAGCCGACGUCCGAUUAGCUAGUUGGUGGGGUAAAGGCCUACCAAGGCGACGAUCGGUAGCUGGUCUGAGAGGAUGAUCAGUCACACAGUGACUGAGAGACAGCGCAGACUCCUACAGGAGACAGAGGUGGGGAGUAUAGUAGAAUAGGCGCAAACCUCUGCCAGAGAUGCGGCGUGUGUGAGAAGGAGCUCCGGGUAGUGUAACGCUCUUGUCCUGGAGAGAAACCCUAGAGCGUAAACCUUCGGCUGAUGAGGCUACCGGAAGAGAAUGCGCCGGCUAUAAUCGUG